AGCGAACGCUGGCGGCAGGCUUAACACAUGCAAGUCGAGCGGGCACUUUCGGGUGUCAGCGGCGGACGGGUGAGUAACGCGUGGGAACGUGCCCUCUGGUUCGGAAUAACUCAGGGAUACUUGAGCUAAUACCGGAUACGCCCUUUUGGGGAAAGGCUUGCUGCCGGAGGAUCGGCCCGCGUCUGAUUAGCUAGUUGGUGAGGUAACGGCUCACCAAGGCGACGAUCAGUAGCUGGUCUGAGAGGAUGAUCAGCCACACUGGGACUGAGACACGGCCCAGACUCCUACGGGAGGCAGCAGUGGGGAAUAUUGGACAAUGGGCGCAAGCCUGAUCCAGCCAUGCCGCGUGAGUGAUGAAGGCCUUAGGGUUGUAAAGCUCUUUUAUCCGGGACGAUAAUGACGGUACCGGAGGAAUAAGCCCCGGCUAACUUCGUG
rnacentral:rRNA from 1 species